rnacentral:rRNA from 1 species
UACGUAGGCAGCAAGCGUUGUUCGGAGUUACUGGGCGUAAAGGGUGUGUAGGCGGUUGUUAAGUUUGGUGUGAAAUCUCCCGGCUCAACUGGGAGGGUGCGCCGAAUACUGAAUGACUCGAGUGCGGGAGAGGAGAGUGGAAUUCCUGGUGUAGCGGUGAAAUGCGUAGAUAUCAGGAGGAACACCGGUGGUGUAGACGGCUCUCUGGACCGUAACUGACGCUGAGACACGAAAGCGUGGGUAGCAAACAGG